AUCUCUUUCUGAAGGUCCCUCUUUUUUGGAAUUUUCCACUGUGAGCCUACAUCCUUGGACACAGAUGCAUGUUCCUAUGGGCCUCAGUACUACAGCCCAAAAGCUGAAGAUGACAUGCUCCAUGCUCUGUUGACUCAUCUUCCUCAGACAUCGUGUUUGGUCAUAAAAUUGUCUUCUCCAGAAGAAAGAACAGAUGAUGAUACCCACAAGAAGUUGUGGGAAAGGGUUAUGCCUCCCCCCAGCAGCUGUGUUGCCUGUGAAGAAUCCUUCUUAUGUUACAUACUAGGAUUUGACAUGCUGUACAUAUGAAGGAGCCAGUGUUGUGAACCUCAGGAGUACAGCAUGAGUUUCAUAAAUCAGUGUUUGUUCCUCAACAACAGCAUGAUUUUUCAGAGGAGUCUAUCCUUCUUGGCUUUCAUUGCCCUUCCAGCAGUGCUGAUUCUGUUUGCAAUGCUUCAAGCUUUAGAUAAAAGGGCAGGGAUGGACACAAAUCUCUGAGAGCCAAAGAGCAGAAGAACUUCCAGUGUUGGGUAGCCUGAAGUCCAUGAUUUCAAGAGGCCCACUUGUUCCUGGGGGAAGUUCUCUCUCUUUAAAAUGAGUGUUUUUUCUAUUUCUUCCUCCCCAUAAUUCUUCCCAGAGGAAGACCCCCAUGCAGUGCCAUGCAGAGCUGAAGACCAGCCACUCCAGCAAAAAGAUCUCAAAAGAUAGGAUGCUGACAGCCUGAAAGGAGAAACAAAAGUUGAGGAAUAUUUCCUCCUCAUCCCAUAUAAAUGUGAAGGGGGACUCCCAUGGUCUCUUUUCUCUCUCUCUUUUGUUUGCAGUCAAAGGGAUGUUGGGGCUCAGCACAGUGAGCUACCAUUUUCCAGCUGGACUUCUCAGCAGCAUCUUCUGCACCCUAUGAACAAGAACCCCUUAUGAAGGCCUCCCGAGCUCUUUUAUUUACAUACCCUGGACACAGAGGCAAUUACAGAAGGUCCAAGAUGUUGACACAGUCCUGCUAGGUCUCUAACAGACACAAGGCUCUCAAGCAUGUAAGAAAUUUUGGAUGCCCUUACAAAACUGACUAUGGUUGAGUAAGCCUUUAAUUCGAAUUAAUGGACUGAGCUCAUGCAGUACUGCAGUCCUUAACGUCAGACAUUGGGAGAAAGUAAAAUUUUCCUCCAGAAAACCAUAAAUGAAUGACUGCUGUGGAGUCUAUUGAGGAUUGUCUCCAAAGAGAAAUGGAAUGUUUUCCUCAUGGUGAAUCACAAGAGAAUGUUACUAUAUCCUGCUUCUUGCAUGGUCUAUAUAUAGAACAAGGAAAGGAAUGACUAGUCAACUGUUUGACCUCAGUUUGGGAAAAAAAUCUCUCAAGAAACCUCAAGAACUCACCCCAUUAAGCAUGCAGAAAAAUGUCACAGACCUGGAACCUUAAUUAUGUGCUUGUGGCAUCCUACUAGAGAGAAAAGCUUUAGAUGUCUGAAAAAAAAAGUAAGGAAGGGCUUGUUCAUGCUCACAUAGCAUUUUCCAACAACUAUCCCUUCCUUAUUUUUUUCAUUAUCUUUUUUUUUUCUUUUUUUGGCUUUUGAAAAACAAACUGAGAUCCCUUCUGACCCUUAA
ensembl:lncRNA